GCCUUUGUAGUGUAGUGGUUAGCACGCUCGGCGCGUAUUCGACAGGUCCGUGGUUCGAUUCCCGACGAGGGCA
rnacentral:tRNA from 1 species